rnacentral:rRNA from 1 species
AUUGAACGCUGGCGGAAUGCUUUACACAUGCAAGUCGAGCGGCAGCGCGGCCUUCGGGCUGGCGGCGAGCGGCGAACGGGUGAGUAAUGCAUCGGAACAUGCCCAGUCGGGGGGGAUAACACUUCGAAAGAAGUGCUAAUACCGCAUACGUCCUGAGGGGGAAAGCGGGGGAUCGCAAGACCUCGCGCGAUUGGAGUGGCCGAUGUCAGAUUAGCUAGUUGGUGGGGUAAAGGCCUACCAAGGCGACGAUCUGUAGCUGGUCUGAGAGGAUGAUCAGCCACACUGGGACUGAGACACGGCCCAGACUCCUACGGGAGGCAGCAGUGGGGAAUUUUGGACAAUGGGGGCAACCCUGAUCCAGCCAUUCCGCGUGAGUGAAGAAGGCCUUCGGGUUGUAAAGCUCUUUCGGCAGGAACGAAACGGUGGGCUCUAACAUAGUCCGCUAAUGACGGUACCUGAAGAAGAAGCACCGGCUAACUACGUG